GAUGAACGCUAGCGGCAGGCCUAAUACAUGCAAGACGAACGGUAAGUUGAGUAGCAAUACUUAGCCAAGAGUGUCGUACGGGUGCGUAACACGUAUGCAACCUACCCUAUACAGGAGGAUAGCCUAGGGAAACCUGGAUUAACCCUUCAUAGUAUUAUUGGAUGGCAUCAUUUGAUAAUUAAAACUGAGGUGGUACAGGAUGGGCAUGCGUCUGAUUAGUUAGUUGGCGGGGUAAUGGCCCACCAAGACGAUGAUCAGUAGGGGUUCUGAGAGGAAGAUCCCCCACACUGGCACUGAGAUACGGGCCAGACUCCUACGGGAGGCAGCAGUAGGGAAUAUUGGUCAAUGGAUGGCAAGUCUGAACCAGCCAUGCCGCGUGCAGGAAGAAGGCCUUCUGGGGUUGUAAACUGCUUUUGCCAGGGGAUAAAAUUUCCAUGCGUGGAAAACUGAAGGUACC
rnacentral:rRNA from 1 species